rnacentral:tRNA from 1 species
GCGCUCGUAGCUCAACUGGAUAGAGCAAAGGGUUUCUAACCCUUAGGUUGGUGGUUCGAGUCCCCCCGAGCGCA